rnacentral:rRNA from 1 species
AUUGAACGCUAGCGGGAUGCUUUACACAUGCAAGUCGAACGAGUGGCGGACGGGUGAGUUAUAUAUCGGAACGUGCCCAGUAGCGGGGGAUAACUACGCGAAAGAGUGGCUAAUACCGCAUUCUAUUAGAGCGGCCGAUAUCGGAUGAGCUAGUGGGUGGGGUAAAGGCUCACCAAGGCGACGAUCCCUAGCUGGUCUGAGAGGACGACCAGCCACACUGGAACUGAGACACGGUCCAGACUCCUACGGGAGGCAGCAGUGGGGAAUUUUGCACAAUGGGGGCAAGCCUGAUCCAGCCAUGCCGCGUGUGUGAGAAGGCCUUCGGGUUGUAAAGUACUUUUGGCAGAGAGGCGGUAUCUGCAGAAGAAGCACCGGCUAACUCCGUGCCAGCAGCCGCGGUAAUUC